UACCACCACCAGGAUGAGUUCCUUGUAACCCAUUGGGAGACCGUUCCUCGUUGGCCAGUACAGCUUUCCUGACACAGGGCCUUUCUGUCUUGAAGGGGGAAGGGGAUUUUCCUGUGAAGAUCUGUCCCAGCCAGCAUGAACUUAUGAUGAGGGGAGUUUGAUUUGAAUGCAAGGGGUGCACAAGACUCCCUUUCAAAAUACAUCAAAACUGCACUGCUUCCUUUUUUUUUUUUUUUUUUUUUUAACGAAUAACGAAUGGCAAAGAGAUGUUAAGACACAGCUCAACACUCUACGCCACUUCUAAACCUGCCCUUGAGUAAGUCGACUUCUGCAGCAAUAAUGAAAUUCGUCACGAACUCCUCAGUGCCACCUGGAAGGAGUGGCGGGUCUAUCAAGAGAAGCAAUUUGACUGUCAGUAUGUUUCCUCUUUGUUUGGAACUAGCCCAUGUGGAGCAUCCUACUUCAAAAACCAGCACCACUUGUGGCCUUUCCGUGAAUUUGUUGGAUGGCUGUGCGGCUAUUCAGCCAUGCAGAUGCAAUUUUAGUAAGAAAUGUGGCUUGGAAGUGCAGGGCAAACCUUUGUAUGAGACUUCCAAGGGACUGGGCUGUCUGGCAUGGAAGCUGUCUCUCCUUGCCAUCACAUUGCCAGUUUGUUUCCUCAUGCUGCCAGUUCCUGUGUUUUCUUUAACUUUGUUGAUAACGGCAUUCCUUUGUUUCCUUGUUGUCAAAUCACCUCUGGGAGCUGGGAAGGGAAGCACCAUGGGGAGUGGGGAAAUGGCAAAUGUUUUUGGGAGACAUUUUCAAAGGUGAACAUGUUAAAUAGGCACCUAACUGCCAUUUGUGCCUUUCAAAAUCUCUCCCUUCACCUUUUUCACUGUUGCCUGUAGUUGCACGUGUUUUGAUGUUAGAUUUUUAUGGAAUGUCCACUCAGGUGAAUGGAAGAUCAGAGAAUAGUGGAGCAUCUUUUUUCAUAGAAGCACCCAGCCCACUGAUGUGUUUAAGAGAAGAUUACAUCUGAGUUAAGAGAUCUCUCUGGUCCCAUAAAAGGGAAUAGUUUCAGUGGUCGAACUGAUCAGUCCUUCAGCAAACUCUCUGUAGUUUCUCUUGAGAGUUCAAUGGAAUCCACCUCAGAGGGCUGAUCAUCACAGAAUUAUGUGGAUUCUAAUGUAUCUGAUAAGUCAGGUGAGCUAGGCAGUGAAGGGAACCAGUGCGUCAUCUGAAAGAUAACCUUUCUUAGGUUAGCAAUAAGGUAAUUAGAUGUGCAGUGACUAGAACUGGUUGGAAAUUUUCUGAUGAAGCUUAGUUUCACUGGAAAAUGCCAAGACAGUACAGCCAAAUGAGUCACCAAAUCUACUACCUAUUUGACUACACUUUAAUCAAAACAUACAGGUUUCCUUGGCUCCAGAGGAUGAAGAUGCAUAGCAUAGGGGCACUCUGCCUCCCCCUCAAGCUUUGUGGGACAGGCAGUGCCUGUCUGGCUCCCCAAGCUGGAGGAUUGGCGGGGAGACAGAGCAACUGGGCUUUCUGCCUCUUCAGCUGCAAGGCUGGAAAGAUCUUGUCAAUUUCACAAGUGAAACUAACAAGAGCCUUCCCCUAGGGCAACUGGGAAGCCAAAAAAAUGGUUUCUGUUCUCCCAAAAUGGAAUUUGUUUUUAAAUCUCUUCCACUAAAAGUUUCAUGUUUUUGGCUCUUUGUCCUGCUGUGGGAUUAAACUCUUUUCAAAAACGUGAAAAUUUUCAUGGAAAGGGAUUCCCUUUUUUUGGCCAGCUCUAGUAGUGACCUCAGUGUCUCGGGAUUGUGAAGAUCACCAUCUGGGUAUCAAAGAGGGAAACAGGGAUAAUUCUUGUUAUGGAGAUUUGCUAGGAUUUGAUGUAUUUACAGCAAUGAACUCAUUUAGCAGAACUCAAAAUAUUUUUAUGCCGUGUAUGCUUACAGUUCCUAUUUUUAAAAGGAAUAAGGAUUUUGCCCAAUUAACAGUCACAAAGGUAACUUUCCAGGAGCCUCUGGGUCUCCCAUUAUUCGCUUAAAAUAGAAAAGGUUGCAGUGUCCUGAUCUGUAAUGAAGAGGAGGUCCUGGCAUGUAUAGUUCUGUCUUUAUUGGAUUUAUCUGCCUGCAUUGCAUGCUGGACCUGUAGUCUCCAUAAGUCACAUCUUGACAUUAAAGAUUAAGACCACCAAGAGAGAUUGAUAUGUGAGAUUGUGAAGCAUGGCCCAGUAAAUAGGGCACAGGACUGGGAAUCAGGAGGACUGAGUUCUCUUCCUAGAUUUGCCAUUGACUCCCAGUUUGACCUUGGGCAAACCACUUAACUCUUCUGUGCCUCAGUGUCCUCAUUCUUAAAUUUGACCUACUUGUGGAAAGAACUUGGAGAUCUUCAGAUGAAAAAUGCUAAGUACUGUAACAGGCUCAGGCCAAAUGGCUACAGGAGAGUGAUCCUGUUGGGAUCCAGGAAGUGGGUGGGCGGAAGCCCGCCCACUGCUAAAGGACCUCCCCCCAGCCUAAGGGGAGGAUCCACAGGACCUGGAAGCCAAAUGAUUCUGUGGGACAACUAAUGAGAUAACAGGGACAGGAGUGAGGUCAAAGGGUCAAACGAAGGGAACCUGACAGGGACACCGAGCAGAGAACCCUGAGAGUGAUAGAAGGUAGAUAUAUUAGCCCCAGAUUAAGCAGGUCCCUUUUCCCUGAGUAAGAUAAUGGGCUGUUCCAGAACAAUCAGGAAGUUGCUGGAACCAAUUAAGGCAGGCUAAUUAGGACACUUGGAGCCAAUUAAGAAGCUACUAGAAUCAAUUAGGACAGGCAGGCUAAUCAGGGCACCUGGUUUUAAAAAGGACCUUAUUUCAGUUAGUGAGGCAUGUGCAAGGAGCUGGGAGCAAGAGGUGUGCAAGAUGCUGAGAGUGAGAAGGCAUACUGCUGGAGGACUGAGAAGUACAAGCAUUAUCAGACAUCAGGAGGAAGAUCCUGUGGUGAGCAUAAAGAAGGUGUUGGGAGGAGAUAAUGGGGAAGUAGCCCAGGGAGUUGUAGUUGUCACGCAGCUAUUACAGGAGACACUGUUGACAGGGCCCUGGGCUCGAACCCGGAUUCCCCCCAUCCCUCCAACUCCCUAUUUGAUACCAGAGGAGUUGACCUGGACUGUGGGUCCCACCAGAGGGGAAGGUCCCUAGCCUGUCCCCCGACUUUGAGGCGAGCAAAUCCACCAAUAAGCGCAGGACCCACCAAGGCAGAGGAGGAACUUUGUCACAGUACUAAAUAUGUCACCAUGGGCUGCGGUCAGAUUAGAGCUGGUUUUUUUGGAAAGGUGACUUCUGAAUGUGUGUAAAUAUCUGCAUUAGCAGAAACUAAAAACAACUCCUCAAGAGAUCUCGUGGUUCUUCGUGAUGAUUGUGUUUGUCUUUCUUUUAAAUAACAGAGGGCUUUUAGAAGUGCUCUGUCCUGCGUGUGAUCUGGUCUCUCUGUCCAUUUAAACCUCCCUUGCCCUUGGUGUCUGUGUUCCUGAUAGCUGCUGAUUGGAUCAAAGCUUCACCGAGCUUCGCUUCCACCCCUUCAAAUUUUCAUUAA